AGACAGCAGUAGCCGCGGGAAUACCGAGGGUGCGAGCGUUAAUCGGAUUUACUGGGCGUAAAGCGUGCGUAGGCGGCUUUUUAAGUCGGAUGUGAAAUCCCUGAGCUUAACUUAGGAAUUGCAUUCGAUACUGGGAAGCUAGAGUAUGGGAGAGGAUGGUAGAAUUCCAGGUGUAGCGGUGAAAUGCGUAGAGAUCUGGAGGAAUACCGAUGGCGAAGGCAGCCAUCUGGCCUAAUACUGACGCUGAGGUACGAAAGCAUGGGGAGCAAACAGGAUUAGAGACCCCCGUAGUCCCUGUCUCUUAUAC
rnacentral:rRNA from 1 species